rnacentral:tRNA from 1 species
UGGUGGCUCAGUGGUAAAGAAUCUGCCUGUCACGCAGGAGACACGGGUUCGAUCCCUGGUCCA